rnacentral:rRNA from 1 species
UACAGGGGGUGCAAACGUUGCUCGGAAUCAUUGGGCGUAAAGCGCACGUAGGCGGUUCGUUAUGUCGGAUGUGAAAGCCCUUGGCUUAACCGAGGAAGUGCAUCCGAAACUGGCGAGCUAGAGUACUAAAGAGGAUCGCGGAAUUCUCGGUGUAGAGGUGAAAUUCGUAGAUAUCGGGAGGAACACCGGUGGCGAAGGCGGCGAUCUGGGUAGAUACUGACGCUGAGGUGCGAAAGCGUGGGGAGCAAACAGG